rnacentral:rRNA from 1 species
CCCCAGACUCCUACGGGAGGCAGCAGUGAGGAAUAUUGGUCAAUGGGCGCGAGCCUGAACCAGCCAAGUCGCGUGAGGGAGGACGGCCCUACGGGUUGUAAAGCUCUGUCGCAGAGGACGAAAAUGACGGUACUCUGUAAGAAAGCUCCGGCUAACUACGUGCCAGCAGCCGCGGUAAUACGUAGGGAGCAAGCGUUGUCCGGAAUUACUGGGUGUAAAGGGAGCGUAGGCGGGAGGAUAAGUUGAAUGUGAAAUCUAUGGGCUCAACCUAUAGCUGCGUUAAAAACUGUUCUUCUUGAGUGAAGUAGAGGCAGGCGGAAUUCCUAGUGUAGCGGUGAAAUGCGUAGAUAUUAGGAGGAACACCAGUGGCGAAGGCGGCCUGCUGGGCUUUUACUGACGCUGAGGCUCGAAAGCGUGGGUAGCAAACAGGAUUAGAUACCCGAGUA